AAAGGGUAAGGGUUAUGAAGGUGUUGUCACUCGUUGGGGUGUCACUCGCCUGCCUCGGAAGACCCACAGGGGUCUCCGAAAGGUGGCUUGUAUUGGUGCCUGGCACCCUGCAAGAGUCUCAUUCACUGUUGCCAGGGCUGGUCAGAAUGGAUACCACCACCGUACUGAAUUGAACAAGAAGAUCUACAAGCUUGGCAAGACCGGUCAGGAGUGUCACACUGCCAUAACCGAGUAUGACAGGUAAUUAACAUGCUCCUUGAACUUCACCACAUUCUUAAUGAAAUGCGAGCAAUGCUGUAUCUAUCCCAAAGACGGUGUCUCACUCAUGAUACUUGGCCAUUUUGAUUUUUGCUUGAUAUAUCUGCCAUAAUAUGCUUGCGUUCAUUGAUGAGUUGAAACUUGGUUGCUUGCUUCUAGAAUUUUUUCUUGACAACGUGUUUGAUAUGUUCUGGAACAG
rnacentral:lncRNA from 1 species